rnacentral:rRNA from 1 species
AAUACGGAGGGAGCAAGCGUUACUCGGAAUUAUUGGGCGUAAAGGGCGCGUAGGCGAUUUGGCAAGUCUUGUGUGAAAGCCCACAGCUUAACUGUGGAAGUGCACAAGAUACUGCUGAAUUUGAGUUCAGGAGAGGAAGGCAGAAUUCCUGGUGUAGCGGUGAAAUGCGUAGAUAUCAGGAGGAAUACCAGUGGCGAAGGCGGCCUUCUGGACUGACACUGACGCUGAGGCGCGAAAGCUAGGGGAGCAAACG